CCUACGGGCGGCAGCAGUGGGGGAUAUUGCACAAUGGGGGGAACCCUGAUGCAGCGACGCCGCGUGGGUGAAGAAGCGCCUCGGCGCGUAAAGCCCUGUCAGCAGGGAAGAAAAUGACGGUACCUGAAGCAUAAGCCCCGGCUAACUACGUGCCAGCAGCCGCGGUCAUACGUAGGGGGCAAGCGUUAUCCGGAUUUACUGGUGGUAAAGGGGGCGCAGACGGCGAUGCAAGCCAGGUGGGAAAGCCCGGGGCCCAACCCGGGGACUGCUCUUGGGACUGCGUGGCUGGAGUGCAGGAGGGGGAGGCGGAAUUCCUGGGGUAGCGGUGAAAUGCGUAGAUAUCAGGAGGAACACCGGUGGCGAAGGCGGCCUGCUGGACUGCAACUGACGUUGAGGCCCGAAAGCGUGGGGAGCAAACAGGAUUAGAUACCCCAGUAGUC
rnacentral:rRNA from 1 species